CAAAAACCAAAACAUAAACAGGACAGCUCCAUGUAAAAGAAUGAAAUCAGAACACUCCCUAACACCAUACACAAAAAUAAACUAAAAAUGGACUAAAGACCUAAAUAUAAGGCCAGACACUAUAAAAGUCUUAGAGGAAAACAUAGGCAGAACACUCUAUGACAUAAAUCACAGCAAGAUCCUUUUUGACCCACCUCCUAGAGAAAUGGAAACAAAAACAAAAAUAAACAAUUGGAACCUAAUGAAACUUAAAAGCUUUUGCACAGCAAAGGAAACCAUAAACAAGACGAAAAGGCAACCCUCAGAAUGGGAGAAAAUAUUUGCAAAUGAAGCCACUGACAAAAGGUUAAUCUCCAAAAUUUACAAGCAGCUCAUGCAGCUCAAUAUCAAAAAAACAAACAACUCAAUCCAAAAAUGGGCAGAAGACCUAAACAGACAUUUCUCCAAAGAAGAUAUACAGAUUGCCAACAAACACAUGAAAGAAUGCUCAACAUCAUUACAUCAUUAAUCAUUAGAGAAAUGCAAAUCAAAACUACAAUGAGAUAUCAUCUCACACCGGUCAGAAUGGCCAUCAUCAAAAAAUCAACAAACAAUAAAUACUUCAGAGGGUGUGGAGAAAAGGGAACCCUCUCACACUGUUGGUGGGAAUGUAAAUUGAUACAGCCACUAUGGAGAACAGUACAGAGGUUCCUUAAAAAACUAAAAACAGAACUACCAUACAACCCAGCAAUCCCACUACUGGGCAUAUACCCUGAGAAAACCAUAAUGCCAAGAGUCAUGUACCACAAUGUUCAUUGCAGCUCUAUUUACAAUAGCCAGGACAUGGAAGCAACCUAAGUGUCCAUCGACAGAUGAAUGGAUAAAGAAGAUGUGGCACAUAUAUACAACAAAAUUUUACUCAGCCAUAAAAAGAAAUGAAAUUGAGUUAUUUGUAGUGAGGUGGAUGGACCUAGAGUCUGUCCUACAGAGUGAAGUAAGUCAGAAGGAGAAAAACAAAUACUGUAUGCUAACACAUAUAUAUGGAAUCUAAAAAAUAAAUAAAUAAAAGUGGUCAUGAAGAACCUAGGGGCAAGAUGGGAAUAAAGACACAGACCUGUUAGAGAAUGGACAUAUAUACACUGCCUGUGUUUCAAGACUAUUCUACAACAUGCUCAUUGAUUGUAAGUUGCCUUACAGGCUUUCCUUUGAAUUCCUGUUUUGAUUGAUUUAGCCAGAGCUGGUGUCUGUUUUUUGCAACCCCACAACUCCAACAAUUACUUGGUCAGUGGGGAAAAUGCUGCAUGUUCUGUGAGGUUGGAAGUGAACAGAAGCUGUUGUCAGAGUUAUGGGAAUCUUUCUGUGAAGUCAUCACUGUCAUCAGGAAUAACAGUCCCUCUUCAUUGGUUUCUGUGAAGGGUAUUGUCUUUCUUGUUCUGACCCUGCUCUUCUGACUGCAACCCCCCAAGAGUCUUUCUGGGCCCCAUGCACUCUGGUGUGCCACCGAAGGUAUGGGUGGCCAUGUCCUUUAGAGAAGAAACACAUCAAGAACUUGGGUCCUGGAUGAUUCUGCUAAACACCUGAAUUAAGCAGUGCUGAUUAAGCCAUCUCUUCUGGACUUCUUUUAAUGAGUGUAAAUAAGUUUUCAUUUUGGUUAAAUUGCUUCUAGUUGAGUGUUCUGUUGCACCUAAAAAAUGCAAAUAGUUAAUAGUCAUUAUAUUUUUGAGUACUUACCCUUUAAACGCUCUAUUUAAAGUAAGACUUUUAAUAAUCUGAACACUCAGAAAGAUAAUUAUUAAUAUUUUAACAUUAUAGGCGGGAAAACAGACUCAUAAAGAUUAAGCAACAUGAUCCAAGAUUAUAUGGUCUGUCAGUCAGGGUCCUAAGGAAAACAGGUGGUAUACUCAAAUUAAGAUAAUGUGAGGAAGGUUCAUUUACAAAGAGAGUAACUACAGAGUUUGGGGAGUGGUGUAGGGGAAUCAUAGAGCUAGUGUAGGAAGCCAGGGCUAGAAGAGUGGAACUGUUACAGGGAGAGGUUACCUGAAACUGGAAGAAGAGAUAGUCAGGUCGAGCAGUCUUCCUUGAGUGGAGCAGUGAACCUCGAAGGAGGGUUAUGGUCAUCUUGAUGUGACCUCACAGGGAGUGAUCCUUACCCUGACCUCACUCUCCUUCCUCCCUCUACUCUUCUGUCAGGCAGAGCCCACUGAGCUAUUGGAUGUAGUCCAAACAGACUAACUUGCAGGGGCAGAGAGCAAGGUGGAGAAAGAUAGGGAGGUAGAGGGACAAUUGGAAAAUAUCUGUUGUGGUCCAGCCUGUUUGCCCCCUACUGUCCUCUCUUGUCUGAAAUGCAGGUCAAAUGUCAUGACCUCAACACAAGAGAUGCCCAAAGUUCCAUCAGCUAUUUAUCAUCAUGGGAUGAUGUUCAUUUGUUCAUAAUUUCACUUUAAACCUAAACAAUUAGCCAUCAACAGUGCCCUCAUAUAAAGUAACAGGAGGGAAAUGGGAAGAUAAAAACAAGUAAUAUAAAAUAUAGCUGUUACAAUCCCUGCUUCUAUAAGUGGACCCAAUGCCAGUUGCCUCUUUCUAAGCCAGAGUGUGCUCCUUGGCUGUGCUUUUCCUUAGCUCAUUCAUUCCAAAGGCAGACUAUUUAAUUAUUGGUUCUGGGGCUACAAAGAUAAAUCAAUCACUUAUCCUCACUAAAAGAGUUCACUUUGCAAUAGUUGAAACAGUUGUUUAAUUUUAAAUCUAGGGUAAUAAGGGGUAAGUAUAUACGUGAUCUCAGGUUUGUGAUGGCAUUAAAAGAACAAGAACAAUAAUGAAAGCAACUCUGCUUUAACUGGGUUUUUUUUCACCCUUGAGAUUAUUAAUUAUCAAUAAUGGAUAAUUCUUUGCUGUUGGAGGCUGUCUUGUGCCUUGUAGGGUGUUUAGCACCAUCCCUGUCUUCUACCCACUAGGUACUAGUAGCACCCCGUCCCCAUCGUGACAAGCAAAAACGUCUCCAGACAUUGCCAAGUGUCCCAUGGGGGUGAUUUAUUGCCCAGUAGAAAACCACUGGCUUAAAAGGUAAAGAAAGAGGUCAUUGCGUGUAUGUGCAAUAACAUAUUUAUCUGUCUCCAAGUAAUGGUCAUUUAGUUAGAUGGGAAUUCUCUUUUUUGUUGUUGUUACAAAUAAACCUUCAGUGAACAUACUCUCUUUGUGUACUUGGGCAGAUAUGUCUGCAUGGUAAAUUUCUAAAAGUGAACUUGCUGGGUUAUAAAAUGCGUUUAGGAUUGUGGUGUUCUCAAAAUGUCUUCUAAGGAGAUGAAUGAAUAGUGUUACCUUUACGACUUUAUUAAAAUAUUCUUUUUUGAAUUGCC